AGUGAACGCUGGCGGUAGGCCUAACACAUGCAAGUCGAACGGCAGCACAGUAAGAGCUUGCUCUUACGGGUGGCGAGUGGCGGACGGGUGAGGAAUACAUCGGAAUCUACUUUUUCGUGGGGGAUAACGUAGGGAAACUUACGCUAAUACCGCAUACGACCUACGGGUGAAAGCAGGGGAUCUUCGGACCUUGCACGAUUGAAUGAGCCGAUGUCGGAUUAGCUAGUUGGCGGGGUAAAGGCCCACCAAGGCGACGAUCCGUAGCUGGUCUGAGAGGAUGAUCAGCCACACUGGAACUGAGACACGGUCCAGACUCCUACGGGAGGCAGCAGUGGGGAAUAUUGGGCAAUGGGCGCAAGCCUGAUCCAGCCAUACCGCGUGGGUGAAGAAGGCCUUCGGGUUGUAAAGCCCUUUUGUUGGGAAAGAAAAGCAGCAGGUUAAUACCCCGCUGUUCUGACGGUACCCAAAGAAUAAGCACCGGCUAACUUCGG
rnacentral:rRNA from 1 species